rnacentral:rRNA from 1 species
ACCAACCUACGGGGGGCAGCAGUGGGGAAUAUUGGGCAAUGGGCGCAAGCCUAACCCAGCAACGCCGCGUGAAGGAAGAAGGCUUUCGGGUUGUAAACUUCUUUUCUCAGGGACGAAGCAAGUGACGGUACCUGAGGAAUAAGCCACGGCUAACUACGUGCCAGCAGCCGCGGUAAUACGUAGGUGGCAAGCGUUAUCCGGAUUUACUGGGUGUAAAGGGCGUGUAGGCGGGGAGGCAAGUCAGAUGUGAAA